rnacentral:rRNA from 1 species
CAAAAACAUGGCUCCUUGAACUUUAAUAAUAAGGAGUCGGACCUGCCCAGUGAAUUUUUCAACGGCCGCGGUACUCUGACCGUGCAAAGGUAGCAUAAUCAUUUGCCUUAUAAUUGAAGGCUAGUAUGAAUGGUUUGACAAGAAUGAAACUGUCUCUUUAUAAUUUAAUAGAAUUUUAUUUUUAGGUGAAGAAGCCUAAGUUAAAUUAAAAGACAAGAAGACCCUAUCGAGCUUAAAAAAAAUCAAUAGAAUUGAAGUCUAAUUAAUAUUUAUAAAAAACUGUCUAUUAAAUAUUUUGGUUGGGGCGACUGAGGAACAUAAAAAGCUUCCUUUAAACAAAAUUAAUAAAUCGAACUAGAAUUGAUCCAAAAUUAUUUUGAUUAAAGAAAUUAGUUACCGUAGGGAUAACAGCAUUAUCUUUUUUAAGAGCUCAUAUCGAAAAAAAGGUUUGUGACCUCGAUGUUGGACCAGAAUAUCCUAAAGGUGCAGCAGUCUUUAAGGGUUGGUCUGUUCGACCAUUAAAAUUCUACGUGA